GGGAAUCUCAACUGAAGGCUUGGUAGAUAUCCCUGAAAUAAUCACAGAAGAAAUCCCGGGGGGAAUUGCUGUAUAAAUCAUGAGCGAGGAUCCCGGCUCAUGAAAAGAAUUCCAUUAGGAUUCUCUGAAUAUGUUUCGACAGAACAUUUUGAAAGUAUACUAAAAUGAAUUCCAGAAGAAAUCCGUGAAAGAAUGCUGGGUAAAAUUUCUGAAAAAAUCCUUUCAGGAUUUUCUAAAGCAAUUCUGGCAGAAAUCCCUGAAGUUAUUCCUGAAGGAAUCCCGUAAAGAAUACCUGAUGUAUAUAUUAGAGAGAUCAUGACAGGAAUGCCGGCCAGAAGCUGAACAGACAUUUCUGCAAGAACCAUAGAAGAUGUCUCUAUGAUCUAGGGUUGCCUGAAAACAAUCUCGGAAGAGACAUAUAUUUUUUCUUUUUUUUUCGGGAGGGAUCCCUUAAGGAAUAACAGCAGGAAUUAUGGAAGGAAUCUUUGAAGGAAUCUCGGAAGCAAUAUCUGACGGAAUCUCGGGAAUAAACCUGAGAAGAUUCUCGAAAGGAAUGCCUGAAGAAAUCCUGGUAAGAAUUCCUGAAGGUAUCUCAAAAAAGAACCUCAGCUCAUCUAAUCUCAUCUCAAUUCUUCACCUUAUUCUUCAGCAUCUACCUUACUGUCUUCUUUGCCCUUUAUUCCAACCCUCUAUCCUACGCUCUAUCAUAACCUUUUUUUUUCUUCUAAACCAUAGGGGGAAAAUCUGGUCAACAGACACCCUAACAGAAGGUUAGGGUAGUGUAGGUCUGACAGGCCGUCUUCUACAACAAAAGUAAAAUCCAGGACUACUCUCUCCUCGUACCCACUAAACCAUUCCUAUGGUCGCCAAACCCUACGUCUCUCCGGAACCACCAAGAAGUUAUUGCGCGCAAACCCCAAAAUUUUAUUCCCACCUUUGGGUUUCCGCGCCGAGGACCCAGCGCCAGAUUCGGCGACACAGAGACAUGACAGCAGUUGCCGGACAGUUGGUAAUCCUGAUAUUUGACGGCGGUCAUCCGUUAGUUGUGAGAGUGGAUGGUUUUCAUGCAAAUAGAGCAUUUCGCUGAAAAUGCACGUGUAUUUAGUAAAUAUUGACAGAUUUCUUGCUGUGUUAGUGUGGAACUCAGUGGUUUGCUGUAUCGCGGAAGCCGUCGCUGGAAGAAAACGUCAUGAAAUUCAACGAAGCAUCGAAAAUUUUCUGUGAAAAAAGCAAUA